rnacentral:rRNA from 1 species
UGGGGAAUAUUGCACAAUGGGCGCAAGCCUGAUGCAGCAACGCCGCGUGAACGAUGAAGGUCUUCGGAUCGUAAAGUUCUGUUGCAGGGGAAGAUAAUGACGGUACCCUGUGAGGAAGCCCCGGCUAACUACGUGCCAGCAGCCGCGGUAAUACGUAGGGGGCUAGCGUUAUCCGGAUUUACUGGGCGUAAAGGGUGCGUAGGUGGUCUUUCAAGUCGGUGGUUAAAGGCUACGGCUCAACCGUAGUUAGCCUCCGAAACUGGAAGACUUGAAGGCAGGAGAAGAAAGUGGAAUUCCCAGUGUAGCGGUGGAAUGCGUAGAUAUUGGGAGGAACACCAGUAGCGAAGGCGGCUUUCUGGACUGCAACUGACACUGAGGCACGAAAGCGUGGGUAGCAAACAGG